rnacentral:rRNA from 1 species
UACAGAGGGUGCGAGCGUUGUUCGGAAUUAUUGGGCGUAAAGAGCUCGUAGGCGGUUUGUCGCGUCGACUGUGAAAACCUACAGCUUAACUGUGGGCUUGCAGUCGAUACGGGCAGACUUGAGUUCGGUAGGGGAGACUGGAAUUCCUGGUGUAGCGGUGAAAUGCGCAGAUAUCAGGAGGAACACCGGUGGCGAAGGCGGGUCUCUGGGCCGAUACUGACGCUGAGGAGCGAAAGCGUGGGGAGCGAACAGG